UGUUGCCUUCUGAGUUGCAUGACCUUGAGUUACCUGAGAUUGCCAUAGGAUUUGUCAAGAUUGGGAAUAAAGGGCAUUUUGUACAGGUAUUGUAUCUGCAUUUAGAACUUUUAUUCUAUACAAUUGAUAUAUAGUCAUGUAGGUGCAUGUUAAUAGUUUCCUCUUUCUUGUUCAAUAACAAAAUGGCACACUUUUCUUUUGUAGGUGAAUUUGUCAUCAGGGUUGGUACCUAUACCUCCAAUUUCAAGUGAGUGGCACAAGAAUAAUGAUGAAACUGCAGAACACUUGUACCUUAGAUACCAAGCCCGUGAAGAGAAAUUCAAACAAGUGCUCCCGAGUGCCCAUGUUGCUGGUGUCACAAAAAUUAUGGAUCUUGAUGAUGACUCGGCAUGAACUGUUGUUUGAUGAAAACUUCUGUUCAAGAAUAGAUGUUAUAGCUUUGUAAACAAUACUUAUGAAGUUGGUGUUUUCAAGUUCAGCAUUAGGAAGUAUAAAGGAUUUAAUCUGUUGUUCUUCAUUUGUCCAUUUCAUUAUUUCUUUCGGUUGAACAUUCCAUAAGAUAUGACUGAACUUAUGAAGAUGUCCAGAAAAUGCAGAUGUAGAACAUCAAGCCAACCUGCAUAAUUGUGUUUCAUCUAAAAAAAUAACCUGCAUAAUUGUGGAAGACACUUAUACAUGAAUUUGGGAGACACUUGUGAAUCAAGUUCUAUCAGAAAGCACUUAUACAGCUUCCACAAUUAUGCAUAAGUUAUACAUAAAGCACUUAUAUGUGUCUUCCACAAGUUGUAUAUCAUGUAUUAGUGUCUUCCAAUCUCAGAAAGCUGGAAAAGCUGAUGUAUGGAUAUAGAGACCUCUGGGAAGUUGGGUAUUCCUUCUUAAACAAAUUACAAAGACCUCUGGGAAGUUGGGUAUUCCUUCUUAAACAAAUUACAAAGAAUACAACAAUAUCAUGAGUUCCUCUAAAAUCUGUGAUUGGGAAAACAUAUAUAGAGACCUCUAGGAAGUUGGGUAUUCCUUCUUCAAGCACCAUCACACCUCACUCCUCUCCUCCGAUCUCCCCAAACCCCAAAACCCACCACCCAAACAAUCCCAAAUCCUCCGCCUCUGCAAAUCCGGCCUACUUCUCGACGACAUUCAUCUCCACAACUCCACAAACCCUUCCAAACUCACCCUCAAACUUCUCCUGGCCUCUACGCUUCACUCCUCCAAACAUGCACCAAAGUUGUCUCUCUCACCCACGGCCUCCAAAUCCACGCCCAUGUCAUCAAAACCGGCCUCGAAACAGACCGCUUCGUCGGCAAUAGCCUCCUCUCUCUCUACUUCAAGCUCAUCCCCAACAUGACCCAAACACAAAAAAUGUUCGAUGCUCUGUAUUUCCGUGAUGUGAUAUCGUAGACGUCUAAGAAAAUAAAUUUUGUGAAUUUUGUUUUAGAUUCUAUUCAAGAUCAAAUAGGUUAAUAAAAAUACAUGGUGGAAAAUAUUAGGUUUAAGAUGAUGAUGUGGCAUGUGCCAUAUCAUUUGGUAUAGAGUUUUUGUAUGAAUUUUUGGUGUCUCUAGCAUUUUCCUUAUUAAAUACCUAUGUAAAUUCAAACUCAGAGUCCUAGGCCCACUUAAUUAAUAUUUAAAAUUAAAAAUAUUAAUAUUAAGGCAGACUUUAAUAAAAAUAAAAAUAAAAAACUGUUCUAGGAUAUUCUGUAUCUUUCUAGAUAUUCUUUAUAUGUGUCUUGGCCUUAUGCCAUUAGGAUGAGAAAUUUUAAAUACACACCCCUAAUCUCUUAAUACACACCUCUAUUAUUUUAUGUUUAUAUUGAGAUUUUAUAGGUAAGCUAAAUGACCAAAAUAAACAUCUACUAAUUAAAAAAAAAAAAUCACGCUAGAAGUGUUAUUUUCAACAUCUUCUAUCCUAAAAUCGUCGAAAGCACGUCUUCUCCCCUAACCCCAACUCUUCUCCACAAUUCAUUUGGGUUGUCUUUUUUUUCCUUUUUGUUCUUCUUUUUAUUUUUAUUUUUA
rnacentral:lncRNA from 1 species